CGGUGGAGCAUGUGGUUUAAUUCGAUGCAACGCGAAGAACCUUACCUGGUCUUGACAUCCACAGAACUUUCCAGAGAUGGACUGGUGCCUUCGGGAACUGUGAGACAGGUGCUGCAUGGCUGUCGUCAGCUCGUGUUGUGAAAUGUUGGGUUAAGUCCCGCAACGAGCGCAACCCUUAUCCUUUGUUGCCAGCGAUUAGGCCGGGAACUCAAAGGAGACUGCCAGUGAUAAACUGGAGGAAGGUGGGGAUGACGUCAAGUCAUCAUGGCCCUUACGACCAGGGCUACACACGUGCUACAAUGGCGCAUACAAAGAGAAGCGACCUCGCGAGAGCAAGCGGACCUCAUAAAGUGCGUCGUAGUCCGGAUUGGAGUCUGCAACUCGACUCCAUGAAGUCGGAAUCGCUAGUAAUCGUGGAUCAGAAUGCCACGGUGAAUACGUUCCCGGGCCUUGUACACACCGCCCGUCACACCAUGGGAGUGGGUUGCAAAAGAAGUAGGUAGCUUAACCUUCGGGAGGGCGCUUACCACUUUGUGAUUCAUGACUGGGGUGAAGUCGUAACAAGGUAACCGUAGGGGAACCUGCGGUUGGAUCACCUCCUUACCUUAAAGAA
rnacentral:rRNA from 1 species